CCAGACUCCUACGGGAGGCAGCAGUGAGGAAUAUUGGUCAAUGGGCGCGAGCCUGAACCAGCCAAGUCGCGUGAGGGAUGACGGCCCUACGGGUUGUAAACCUCUUUUGUCGGGGAGCAAAUUCCGUUACGUGUAACGGAGUCGAGAGUACCCGAAGAAAAAGCAUCGGCUAACUCCGUGCCAGCAGCCGCGGUAAUACGGAGGAUGCGAGCGUUAUCCGGAUUUAUUGGGUUUAAAGGGUGCGCAGGCGGUGUCUGUUAGGCCAGCGGACAAGCCGGGGGCCCCCCCCCCGCCCCGCCGUUGAAACUGGCAGUCUCGAGUUGGAGAGAAGUAUGCGGAAUGCGCGGUGUAGCGGUGAAAUGCAUAGAUAUCGCGCAGAACUCCGAUUGCGAAGGCAGCAUGCCGGCUCCACACUGACGCUGAGGCACGAAAGCGUGGGUAUCGAACAGGAUUAGAUACCCUCGUA
rnacentral:rRNA from 1 species